UCUUGUGCUUGGUUGCUAGCUAUCACCUUAGUCUCCUCCAUGCCGUUGACCACAAAAACAAUCCCCAAAUCAGCACCAAACAACCCCCUGCCGCACCUUGCCGCCGGCGGUUCCUAAAGCGCCAUUUCGGCGGAGCGCCCAGGCCCCGCUGCUUCCUGCUCCGCUGCACGAGCGCUUGCUUCGCCGCCGGCAGCUCCGCAACAGCGUGCUGUCUGAAGCACAGCGGUGGCCCCUUCCCCCGCUGCUCUUGAGGAUGCACGCGGCGUACGGGAGGAGUCGGGAUGGGUCACGCGAGAGAAGGAUCAGGUCCCGGUGGUUCUGCAGGAGGCGCGUGCAAAGGGGGACACGCGAUAGUGUUUCAGGGUGAGUUUAGGUUCAGGCCUAGUCUUCUAUAUAUUUCAGUAGGGUGGAACAGAGUAGAUUUAUUGGCCAUGUAGUUGAUUAUUUGAUCAUGUGUUUACUAUAUAGUUUUUCAUUACAUGAACACAUGACUGUAAAGAAAUCUCUCAGUUAAGGUCAGGCAUAGGACAUUUAACUGUACUGCAGUAGCAUGUAUUCAGGUUUAGGCCUUUGUACCAUUGCAGUCUGUAGCAAAUGCAAAACAAUGUUCACUAGUGCAGUUUUGCAAACACCUAUCAGUUGGAUGUCAAGUAAAGUUAUCUAGUCAGGCAUGUAUAUGUCAAAUCCAAACCAUGGUAUGUACUGUAUUACGUGAACAUGAACAUGAAAAGAAGAUAAAAGAGCUAAACUUUUCUAAAAUACAAAUAUGCAUUACACGAUCUACUCAUCAUAACUUGAAUGCUCAUUCUCACUCAAUGCGCCAUCUUCCUGUCCAUCAUCAUCAGUAACACUAUCUUGUGUCGAACAACUAAUCAAUAUCCUUCACAGUUGAAGUUGUCGAGGGCAUUUCUUCCUGGUAUGAACUGGUCAUGUUUCCCAAGGGGUUGAAUCCAUCCAUGGCAAUACCAAGCUUCAUAUUACGGGCAUCCUUAGCGAAACAACUGAACUCACUAUCAAAGUGCUCCCAUGCUUCACCAUCAGCAGGGGGUCUCAUAACAUUUGCCUCAGCAAUCCUCUUCUCCUUAUGCCACCUUGCAUGUGCUGAUUGUUCCUUUGACACAAAAAAUCUUUGAAGCCUCAGGAUGAUAGGAAAGUACCUAAGUACCUUGUGAGGUACCUUUUCCUCCACACCUUAUCUUUCCAUCUUGAUGUCCCACAUUCAGGACAGUGGCUCUUGUUGGCAUGUUGGCCCAAAAACAAUCCAAAUCAAACUUGGAAAGAUGAAUUGUUUCGUAACCCUGCCCGACUUCACUAAGAACAUUCUUAGCUUCAUUUUAUGAUUUAGGUAUAUCAGCAUGUGGAAACGCCACACUAAUAAGCUCAACAAAAUGAUUAAAUGCUCUACUUGUAAUCCGGUUGUAUGAUUUGAUAUGGAGGAGCUUAAUAAUGAACGACAGCCGUGUGAAAUCACUACAUCCUUCAUAAAAGAUCUUUCUUCGCUUCAUCAAUUAGCUUGGAAAAGAGGUUAGGCUUACCCUUGCCUUACCUUCCAGACAUGAACAUAUCAUCUACCAUAUAUGCAACAUCGCCUCUGUUGCCAACAUCACAGUCAUCAUCAUCAUCUGAUUGAUAUGUAGCACCCUCUAUAUUAUCACCUUCAUCAUCAGUCACCGCUUCACCAUGAAAGUCCCACCUUGUAUAUGUAACAGACAUACCAUUGCAUAAUUUGUGCUCCUCUACUUCAGCCUGGCGCGAUGUUCCAUAUUCAGACAGUCCUUGCAUGGGCACAAUAUGUCCUAAUUUUCCCUGAAAUUUUGGCGAGCGAAACCCAUAAACUCUUCAAUACCUUUCAUGUAUGGUGGUGUGAAACAUGUUCCUUGUAUCCAGCUUCGAUCCAUUACACUACAACAAAAUAGUUUACUGUUAGCAAAUUAUGCUUACACCGCAUCGAAGCAAAAUUUACUACUAACACAACUCGUGAACCCACUACUAAACUGAAACAACAAAACAACCACAAAUUUAACCCUUUCAAGAUUGAUGAAAACAUCUACUCAGGCAAUGAAUUUAGUAGAACAAAACCUCCUUCACAUUGUCUUUCCUAAGUACAGCAUAUAUGCUUGGUUUCAAAAGGCCACGGACUUGUGCAUGUCUUAUACACAAACAUAAAUAUGCUCACUGUCAUUGCAAAACCAUGCAUCUAUCUAUGCUAUAUACAUCAUCGCAACAUUCGUACACACAAUACAAUAGCAGAAGUAACAGUUCAAUCGUUCACCCAAUUUACCUUACAGGGGUUGGCUGGAUCGAUGCUUUGGGAGUUGGGGCCAAGUCGGGAGCACUCGCAAGUCCAAACUCUGUGCCUUUGUCAGGUGAUGGAUGGACAGAAAACUCUGUGCACAGUUGGUGAUGGGACGAUGGCCAGUUGGGGACAGGUUGGGGACGAGCCACGUUGUCCCAGUCGUCGACGAGCAAAUGUGAUGCCUGAGGUGGAAGAGCGGAGCUAAGAGGGAGAGGCGGAGGCGCGGUGUGGUAGCCGGUGCGAUGUAGCGGCGCUGUAAUGCCUCCUACGAUAUGAUGGCAAAUGGCUGGAUGGAUCCGCUUGAUGUGGCACAAGGGAGUGGAUGCACUUACUUGCAAUUGGCAACAACCAGCCGGAACCGAUCUGUGUCGUGCUUCAGCUAUCACCGUCCUGCUUCUCCCCGCUGUGAAGCACCACCAGCUAGAACCGAGAAGACGAUCAGAUGGAGUCACAUAUCCCCCGGGAAGAAAUAUCUAACCUACGCCUAGGCGUAUAGUCCAAGAAGAUGGUACCAUAGUUUGAAUAGCGUCCAGACUCUUUCCUAGUGGCAACGUUGUUUGUGCAGAUCAUGGUGGUUGUCGGUUCGAACUCCUAUAGCAAUUCUUUUUUGCAUCGAAUCUCUUGUUUUAAUUUUAAGUGACUAGCAAGUUCGUCAUGCAAAAUACCAAACCGUCAUAGAAAUUGGCAACCAGGUGUGCUGAAAGGCCGAGGCAUUCAGGUGAUGUCUAACGUCACCGAUUUGCGAUAAUUGGUGACGCCACUGACGAGAACAUCACACAUUAGGCAUUUCGGUGACGUUGUCCACCAUUGUCACAAGGAUUUUUGUCACAGUAUGUCAAUUUUGUUGUAGUGUACCAAAAGGGCAAGUAAAAGUAGUCUUGGAUUGAUCAUUGGCUAACACAGGUAUUUGAGAGAAACCAGAAUAACCAUCUAGGAAGAAAAAAUGUGUAUGUUUGGAUAAUCUUUCUUGCAUUUGAUCGAUAAAAGGUAAGGGGUAAUGAUCU
rnacentral:lncRNA from 1 species